CUAUACGGUGAACUGCGAAUGGCUCAUUAAAUCAGUUAUCGUUUAUUUGAUAGUACCUUACUACUUGGAUAACCGUGGUAAUUCUAGAGCUAAUACAUGCUAAAAACCUCGACUUCGGAAGGGGUGUAUUUAUUAGAUAAAAAACCAAUGCCCUUCGGGGCUCCUUGGUGAUUCAUAAUAACUUAACGAAUCGCAUGGCCUUGUGCCGGCGAUGGUUCAUUCAAAUUUCUGCCCUAUCAACUUUCGAUGGUAGGAUAGUGGCCUACCAUGGUUUCAACGGGUAACGGGGAAUUAGGGUUCUAUUCCGGAGAGGGAGCCUGAGAAACGGCUACCACAUCCAAGGAAGGCAGCAGGCGCGCAAAUUACCCAAUCCCGACACGGGGAGGUAGUGACAAUAAAUACUGAUACAGGGCUCUUUUGGGUCUUGUAAUUGGAAUGAGUACAAUUUAAAUCCCUUAACGAGGAACAAUUGGAGGGCAAGUCUGGUGCCAGCAGCCGCGGUAAUUCCAGCUCCAAUAGCGUAUAUUAAAGUUGUUGCAGUUAAAAAGCUCGUAGUUGAACCUUGGGCCUGGCUGGCCGGUCCGCCUCACCGCGUGCACUGGUCCGGCCGGGCCUUUCCUUCUGGGGAGCCGCAUGCCCUUCACUGGGUGUGUCGGGGAACCAGGACUUUUACUUUGAAAAAAUUAGAGUGUUCAAAGCAGGCCUAUGCUCGAAUACAUUAGCAUGGAAUAAUAGAAUAGGACGUGUGGUUCUAUUUUGUUGGUUUCUAGGACCGCCGUAAUGAUUAAUAGGGAUAGUCGGGGGCAUCAGUAUUCAAUUGUCAGAGGUGAAAUUCUUGGAUUUAUUGAAGACUAACUACUGCGAA
rnacentral:rRNA from 1 species